UUUUUCCGCCGCAUGCAUCCGCCGCUCACCAAAAAAAAAAAAGUUAAGAUCUGCACUGAGAAAGUGGGCGGUUAUUAUUAACACAAUAACAAGAAAUUCCAAGGGACUUCGAGGAGGCGUCGUGAUUGGUAUUCCGAUAGUCUUUCGGAUUUGAAGACUCAGGAUUAGGUGGAAUUGAGGAUUUGCCAAAUUCUUAGAACGAAGCAAAGAAUAUAAUUCGAGUUUGUUAUUGUCUUCUAGGCGAAGGUUAAAUAAAGUCUUUAAUGUUUAGUUUGAUGAAUUGAGAGUUUUGUAAUAAUGAGAAUUCUUUCUUUAGGUUGAGAUUUAUUUCGAGUUGAGGAAUAUUUAUUUUUAUCAAGUUAAUUGGCUUAGUUUGACUUUUGGGAUUAUAGAGAAUAUUUGUUGUUGGUUUUA